rnacentral:lncRNA from 1 species
AAACUUGAAACAAGUGUUUCCCAAAGUUGUAUACUAGCUUAGUUCAACUAAGGCAAGAUUCUCCUUUUCUCCUCUUUUAUGACUACUACGGCUACUGGUCCAUAUAAUAGCUAAUGCUUAAUAAGUAAUGAAUUUAAAACACUGUACUAUAACAAAAAAUGCAAAAGAAAAGGUAAAGAACUUCACCGGAAAAUCACACUUAACCUAAAGAUGAAAUAAAGUUAAAACAGUGAUCUAUCUUACUUUGACCGCCGUCUAUUAGAGAAAAUGGUUGAUCGGAUUCUUGAGAAUGGCGUCAACGGCUCGAGAAUAGAGUCCUUGUAUUUGUUAGGCAAAACCUGAAUCCUUCCCCUUUUUGAUCGAACCACUGGAUCUGUACACUCGUUUCUUCGUUUAAGUUGCUUUUUAGCAGCUACAUCGUUUUUCUUCAUCCUCUGUUUUCUCUCUGCUGUUUUCCAGAAUUUUCAAAAUUUAAAGCUUUUUCUCUCCGUCUUGGUCUUGCAUUCGCGGUUGGGAAUUUGGANNNNNNNNNNNNNNNNNNNNNNNNNCCUAUCCCCUGUGUGCCUUGCCUCCCACGACUAUGCUUAAUAAGUAAUGAAUUUAAAACACUGUACUAUAACAAAAAAUGCAAAAGAAAAGGUAAAGAACUUCACCGGAAAAUCACACUUAACCUAAAGAUGAAAUAAAGUUAAAACAGUGAUCUAUCUUACUUUGACCGCCGUCUAUUAGAGAAAAU